rnacentral:tRNA from 2 species
GGGCCUGUAGCUUAGUCAGGAAGAGCGCCGGACUCUUAAUCCGGCGGCCAGGGGUUCAAAUCCCUUCAGGCCCG